rnacentral:rRNA from 1 species
CUACGGGGUGCUGCAGUCGAGGAAAUUUUACAAUGCUCGCAAGAGUGAUAAAAUAAACCAGAGUGUUUCUCCUAGAGAAACUUUUAUUUGUUGUAAAAAGGCAAAUGAAUAAGGACUGGGCAAGACCGGUGCCAGCCGCCGCGGUAAAUACCGGCGGUCCGAGUCGCAUCCACAAUUAUUGAGUCUAAAACAUUCGUAGCUUGUUUUGAAAGUCUCUUGUUAAAUCCUAUAUCUUAAGUAUAGGGCGGGCAAGAGAUACUACAUUACUAGAGACCGGAAGACGCAAAAAGUAUGGUUGAGGUAGCGGUUAAAUGUGUUAAUCCCAAUUAGACUAACAAUGGCGAAGGCAUUUUGCGAGUACGGAUCUGACAGUGAGGGAUGAAGGCUAGGGGCGCAAAAGGGAUUAGAUACCCCGGUAGUC